rnacentral:rRNA from 1 species
UAUCCGGAAUCAUUGGGCGUAAAGCGUACCGCUAGGUUGUUUAUUAAGUCUUGGGUAAAAGCCGGAAGCUCAACUUCCGCGUUUGCUUAAGAUACUAAUAGACUAGAGGGGCAAAGAGGUGCUUGGAACCAACGGUGUAGUAGUGAAAUGCGUUGAUAUCGUUGGGAACACCGAAAGCGAAGGCAGAGCACUGGGUGCCACCUGACACUGCUAGGACGAAAGCGUGGGGAGCGAAUGGG